rnacentral:sRNA from 1 species
GCUGGGCGUGGUGGUGCAUGCCUGUAGUCCCAGCUACUCAGGAAGCUGAGGCAGGAGAAUCGCUUGAAACAGGGAGGUGGAGGUUGCAGUGAGCCGAGAACAUGCCAUUGCACUCCAGCCUGGUGACAGAGCGAGACUCUGUCUUAAAAAAAAAUAUAUAUAUAUAUAUAUAUAAUUUCAGACGGUGUCUCGCUCUGUCACCCAGGCUGGAGUGCAGUGAUCAUGAUCAUAGCUCACUGCAGCCUUAAAUUCCUGGACUCAAGUGAUCCUCCUGCCUCAA